rnacentral:rRNA from 1 species
UACGUAGGGCGCAAGCGUUGUCCGGAAUUAUUGGGCGUAAAGAGCUCGUAGGCGGCCUGUUGCGUCCGCUGUGAAAUCCCGGGGCUUAACCCCGAGCCUGCAGUGGAUACGGGCAGACUAGAGGUAGGUAGGGGAGAAUGGAAUUCCCGGUGUAGCGGUGAAAUGCGCAGAUAUCGGGAGGAACACCGGUGGCGAAGGCGGUUCUCUGGGCCUUACCUGACACUGAGGAGCGAAAGCGUGGGGAGCGAACAGG